UGGCGGACGGGUGAGUAAUGUCUGGGAAACUGCCCGAUGGAGGGGGGUAACUACUGGAAACGGUAGCUAAUACCGCAUAAUGUCUACGGACCAAAGCGGGGGACCUCCGGGCCUCGCGCCAUCAGAUGAACCCAUAUGGGAUUAGCUAGUAGGUAAGGUAACGGCUUACCUAGGCGACGAUCCCUAGCUGGUCUGAGAGGAUGAUCAGCCACACUGGGACUGAGACACGGCCCAG
rnacentral:rRNA from 1 species